UCGUAACAAGGUCUCCGUUGGUGAACCAGCGGAGGGAUCAUUACCGAGUUUACAACUCCCAAACCCCUGUGAACAUACCUAUACGUUGCCUCGGCGGAUCAGCCCGCGCCCCGUAAAACGGGACGGCCCGCCCGAGGACCCCUAAACUCUGUUUUUAGUGGAACUUCUGAGUAAAACAAACAAAUAAAUCAAAACUUUCAACAACGGAUCUCUUGGUUCUGGCAUCGAUGAAGAACGCAGCAAAAUGCGAUAAGUAAUGUGAAUUGCAGAAUUCAGUGAAUCAUCGAAUCUUUGAACGCACAUUGCGCCCGCCAGUAUUCUGGCGGGCAUGCCUGUUCGAGCGUCAUUUCAACCCUCAAGCUCAGCUUGGUGUUGGGACUCGCGGUAACCCGCGUUCCCCAAAUCGAUUGGCGGUCACGUCGAGCUUCCAUAGCGUAGUAAUCAUACACCUCGUUACUGGUAAUCGUCGCGGCCACGCCGUAAAACCCCAACUUCUGAAUGUUGACCUCGGAUCAGGUAGGAAUACCCGCUGA
rnacentral:rRNA from 1 species